rnacentral:rRNA from 1 species
UACGUAGGGCGCAAGCGUUGUCCGGAAUUAUUGGGCGUAAAGAGCUCGUAGGCGGCUUGUCACGUCGGGUGUGAAAGCCCGGGGCUUAACCCCGGGUCUGCAUUCGAUACGGGCAGGCUAGAGUGUGGUAGGGGAGAUCGGAAUUCCUGGUGUAGCGGUGAAAUGCGCAGAUAUCAGGGGGAACACCGGUGGCGAAGGCGGAUCUCUGGGCCAUUACUGACGCUGAGGAGCGAAAGCGUGGGGAGCGAACAGG